GCAAGUCGAGGGGUAGCAUUUGUACUUGCACAAGAUGACGACCGGCGCACGGGUGCGUAACGCGUAUAGAAUCUACCUUUUACUAAGGGAUAGCCUUUGGAAACGAAGAUUAAUACCUUAUAGUAUUAUAUAGUUGCAUGAUUAUGUAAUUAAAGGUUACGGUAAGAGAUGACUAUGCGUCCUAUUAGCUAGAUGGAGAGGUAACGGCACCCCAAGGCGACGAUAGGUAGGGGCCCUGAGAGGGGGAUC
rnacentral:rRNA from 1 species